rnacentral:rRNA from 1 species
GGUUAAGCGACUAAGCGUACACGGUGGAUGCCCUGGCAGUCAGAGGCGAUGAAGGACGUGCUAAUCUGCGAAAAGCGUCGGUAAGGUGAUAUGAACCGUUAUAACCGGCGAUGUCCGAAUGGGGAAACCCAGUGCAAUUCGUUGCACUAUCGUUAACUGAAUACAUAGGUUAACGAGGCGAACCGGGGGAACUGAAACAUCUAAGUACCCCGAGGAAAAGAAAUCAACCGAGAUUCCCCCAGUAGCGGCGAGCGAACGGGGAGCAGCCCAGAGUCUGAAUCAGCUUGUGUGUUAGUGGAACGGUCUGGAAAGUCCGACGGUACAGGGUGAUAGUCCCGUACACCAAAAUGCACAGGCUGUGAACUCGAAGAGUAGGGCGGGACACGUGGUAUCCUGUCUGAAUAUGGGGGGACCAUCCUCCAAGGCUAAAUACUCCUGACUGACCGAUAGUGAACCAGUACCGUGAGGGAAAGGCGAAAAGAACCCCGGCGAGGGGAGUGAAAAAGAACCUGAAACCGUGUACGUACAAGCAGUGGGAGCACCUUCGGGUGUGACUGCGUACCUUUUGUAUAAUGGGUCAGCGACUUAUAUUCUGUAGCAAGGUUAACCGUAUAGGGGAGCCGCAGGGAAACCGAGUCUUAACUGGGCGUUAAGUUGCAGGGUAUAGACCCGAAACCCGGUGAUCUAGCCAUGGGCAGGUUGAAGGUUGGGUAACACUAACUGGAGGACCGAACCGACUAAUGUUGAAAAAUUAGCGGAUGACUUGUGGCUGGGGGUGAAAGGCCAAUCAAACCGGGAGAUAGCUGGUUCUCCCCGAAAGCUAUUUAGGUAGCGCCUCGUGAACUCAUCUUCGGGGGUAGAGCACUGUUUCGGCUAGGGGGUCAUCCCGACUUACCAACCCGAUGCAAACUACGAAUACCGAAGAAUGUUAUCACGGGAGACACACGGCGGGUGCUAACGUCCGUCGUGAAGAGGGAAACAACCCAGACCGCCAGCUAAGGUCCCAAAGUCAUGGUUAAGUGGGAAACGAUGUGGGAAGGCACAGACAGCCAGGAUGUUGGCUUAGAAGCAGCCAUCAUUUAAAGAAAGCGUAAUAGCUCACUGGUCGAGUCGGCCUGCGCGGAAGAUGUAACGGGGCUAAACCAUGCACCGAAGCUGCGGCAGCGACACUAUGUGUUGUUGGGUAGGGGAGCGUUCUGUAAGCCUGCGAAGGUGACCUGUGAGGGUUGCUGGAGGUAUCAGAAGUGCGAAUGCUGACAUAAGUAACGAUAAAGCGGGUGAAAAGCCCGCUCGCCGGAAGACCAAGGGUUCCUGUCCAACGUUAAUCGGGGCAGGGUGAGUCGACCCCUAAGGCGAGGCCGAAAGGCGUAGUCGAUGGGAAACAGGUUAAUAUUCCUGUACUUGGUGUUACUGCGAAGGGGGGACGGAGAAGGCUAUGUUAGCCGGGCGACGGUUGUCCCGGUUUAAGCAUGUAGGCUGGUUGUCCAGGCAAAUCCGGAUAAUCAAGGCUGAGGUGUGAUGACGAGGCACUACGGUGCUGAAGUAACAAAUGCCCUGCUUCCAGGAAAAGCCUCUAAGCAUCAGGUAACAUUAAAUCGUACCCCAAACCGACACAGGUGGUCAGGUAGAGAAUACCAAGGCGCUUGAGAGAACUCGGGUGAAGGAACUAGGCAAAAUGGUGCCGUAACUUCGGGAGAAGGCACGCUGGUGUGUAGGUGAAGCCCCUGCGGGUGGAGCUGAGACCAGUCGAAGAUACCAGCUGGCUGCAACUGUUUAUUAAAAACACAGCACUGUGCAAACACGAAAGUGGACGUAUACGGUGUGACGCCUGCCCGGUGCCGGAAGGUUAAUUGAUGGGGUUAUCCGUAAGGAGAAGCUCUUGAUCGAAGCCCCGGUAAACGGCGGCCGUAACUAUAACGGUCCUAAGGUAGCGAAAUUCCUUGUCGGGUAAGUUCCGACCUGCACGAAUGGCGUAAUGAUGGCCAGGCUGUCUCCACCCGAGACUCAGUGAAAUUGAACUCGCUGUGAAGAUGCAGUGUACCCGCGGCAAGACGGAAAGACCCCGUGAACCUUUACUAUAGCUUGACACUGAACAUUGAGCCUUGAUGUGUAGGAUAGGUGGGAGGCUUUGAAGCGUGGACGCCAGUCUGCGUGGAGCCAACCUUGAAAUACCACCCUUUAAUGUUUGAUGUUCUAACGUUGGCCCCUGACCGGGGUUGCGGACAGUGUCUGGUGGGUAGUUUGACUGGGGCGGUCUCCUCCCAAAGCGUAACGGAGGAGCACGAAGGUUAGCUAAUCCUGGUCGGACAUCAGGAGGUUAGUGCAAUGGCAUAAGCUAGCUUGACUGCGAGCGUGACGGCGCGAGCAGGUGCGAAAGCAGGUCAUAGUGAUCCGGUGGUUCUGAAUGGAAGGGCCAUCGCUCAACGGAUAAAAGGUACUCCGGGGAUAACAGGCUGAUACCGCCCAAGAGUUCAUAUCGACGGCGGUGUUUGGCACCUCGAUGUCGGCUCAUCACAUCCUGGGGCUGAAGUAGGUCCCAAGGGUAUGGCUGUUCGCCAUUUAAAGUGGUACGCGAGCUGGGUUUAGAACGUCGUGAGACAGUUCGGUCCCUAUCUGCCGUGGGCGCUGGAGAAUUGAGGGGGGCUGCUCCUAGUACGAGAGGACCGGAGUGGACGCAUCACUGGUGUUCGGGUUGUCAUGCCAAUGGCACUGCCCGGUAGCUAAAUGCGGAAGAGAUAAGUGCUGAAAGCAUCUAAGCACGAAACUUGCCCCGAGAUGAGUUCUCCCUGAGACUUUAAGUCUCCUGAAGGAACGUUGAAGACGACGACGUUGAUAGGCCGGGUGUGUAAGCGCAGCGAUGCGUUGAGCUAACCGGUACUAAUGAACCGUGAGGCUUAACCUU